UCAAAAUUUAAACAAAAUAUGUGCAGAUUUUUACAAAACAAUGAGGAAUGUGUGAGUGCAAAAAAUUAUACAAUCAAGUAAGCUAGAAUGUAAAAGAUAUAAAAGGAAGAAUAGAAGGAAAGCAACAUAAACACCAUAAUUUUUAUUGUGGCUCGGUGCCCCAGUACCUACAUCCACUCUCCAAGAUCUUCUUGAGAAUUUUUACUAUAAUCUAUCUAAGAUUACAACUAGAUAGAUUUUUCGGACUUAGUAUCCAUAACUCAGUUGGUUUUAUAUGGAAUCAUCAAUCAAAAUCUAAUCCAAGCCAAUCCUUGGCUUACAAUCCAAUUGC
rnacentral:lncRNA from 1 species